GCGGGCUGGCCGGCGGCGGCUCCAGCUCGGGUCGGCCGGACCUCGGCGACGUCUCCGUCAGCAGUUCGUGCCGCUUCAGUAUCGAGCAUCAGGCCGCACGAGCAGAGCCUCUACGGCCGGCACAGCGACCAACGCGACAGACUGGACGCGAUGAGUGCCAGAGUGCCCCCUCUCCCCAUAUCUCCGGACUCGGAUCACAGGCGCUGGACACGGGAGCGCGGCGUCCCCGGCCUCGGCGGCCGCCGCACCGGUCACACACUGAAACCCGACGACCGCCCGUCCAGCAAGGAGAGCGUGUACUGCAGCGGCCCGAGCUGGAGCAGCGGCGGCCCCUCGC